AUACGGUCAGACUCCAGAAAAACAAAACAAAAUGAGCUGCAAACACUCACCGAGUUCUGAUAGACUGUGGAUCGCCAGCAUCUACACAACAACCAGCUUUGAAGCCCUGCGGCAGCACCAGCUGCAGGUUGAUGACCAGCAAACACACUCUGAAGAACUCUUCAUGCAUUUAUUUCUGAGCCACAAACACCUGCAGGGCAGCAGGGAUCCUCCUCCACACUCCUGACAGGGUGGCCGGGCAGAAGCUUGGUGGUCCGGGAGGGGCUCAGAGUAGAGCCGCUGCUCCUCCACAUCCAGAGGAGCCAGAUGAGGUGGCUCGGUCAUCUGGUCAGGAUGCCUC